CCUACGGGAGGCAGCAGUGAGGAAUAUUGCUCAAUGGGCGCGAGCCUGAACCAGCCACGCCGCGUGAAGGAUGACUGCCCUACGGGUUGUAAACUUCUUUUAUAAAGGAAUAAAGUGAGGCACGUGUGCCUUUUUGUAUGUACUUUAUGAAUAAGGAUCGGCUAACUCCGCGCCAGCAGCCGCGGUAAUACGGAGGGUCCGAGCGUUAUCCGGAUUUAUUGGGUUUAAAGGGAGCGUAGAUGGGUUGUUAAGUCAGUUGUGAAAGUUUGCGGCUCAACCGUAAAAUUGCAAUUGAUACUGGCAGUCUUGAGUACAGUUGAGGUAGGCGGAAUUCGUGGUGUAGCGGUGAAAUGCUUAGAUAUCACGAAGAACUCCGAUUGCGAAGGCAGCUUACUAAACUGCCACUGACACUGAUGCGCGAAAGUGUGGGUAGCAAACAGGAUUAGAUACCCUUGUAGUC
rnacentral:rRNA from 1 species